GAUGAACGCUGGCGGCGUGCCUAAUACAUGCAAGUCGAGCGAACAGACGAGGAGCUUGCUCCUCUGACGUUAGCGGCGGACGGGUGAGUAACACGUGGAUAACCUAUCUAUAAGACUGGGAUAACUUCGGGAAACCGGAGCUACUACCGGAUAAUAUAUUGAACCGCAUGGUUCAAUAGUGAAAGACGGUUUUGCUGUCACUUAUAGAUGGAUCCGCGCCGCAUUAGCUAGUUGGUAAGGUAACGGCUUACCAAGGCAACGAUGCGUAGCCGACCUGAGAGGGUGAUCGGCCACACUGGAACUGAGACACGGUCCAGACUCCUACGGGAGGCAGCAGUAGGGAAUCUUCCGCAAUGGGCGAAAGCCUGACGGAGCAACGCCGCGUGAGUGAUGAAGGUCUUCGGAUCGUAAAACUCUGUUAUUAGGGAAGAACAAAUGUGUAAGUAACUAUGCACGUCUUGACGGUACCUAAUCAGAAAGCCACGGCUAACUACGUG
rnacentral:rRNA from 1 species